GGAGUUCGGACUCCGGACCGGCAUUUCUGCUUGUUUGUACCCUGUCCCUGAGAUAACCAUGGUUAAUAAAUGGUCAGACACGUCACUGGCUUUAAAAUAUAAACCCCAUUGAUGCAAAAAGAUGCUGCAUGGAAUGACAAUGAGGUUUGGAACAGACUUGGUGAAGAACAUGGAAACAUCUCUAAAUAAAAUGGCCCCAAACAUCAUCAGGAGUGCAAAAGAAGGAAGUAAAAACAUCUCUACGCCAAUCUCAUCGGAGAGGAAACCACAGAAGGUGCUUGUUCUUUGUCCAGUGUCUGGUGAGGAAUGCUGCACUUAUGUUAUUGCAAGCAUUAUUUCAAGAAAAUCCCAGCUUCCUUUACUGUGUAAAUAGUGAACCCAAAGGUCCCACACCAACCAUAGUGUUCAACGGCUCUCCUGAUCUUCUCAAAUCUGAAAGUAUCAACUGUAUAAUGGACAAUGUGAACUUAAUAUGUGGAAGACAUUGACAUCACAGGCUGUGGAAUGACUGUGUCACAGGUCGGAGAAGCGGACCGCCCCUGUCGCGGAUCACGCUCCUCCUAGUUCCACCUUGAGGAGGUCCCAAAGCACCCCAAUGACCAGACAAACCAGAGAUAAGUAAAAUAUAAAAAUAGAAACUUUAUUUAAAUUAUUUAAAACUAAAGUGGGGAAUGGGAAAGGGAAUCUAAAAAUCUCCCUUCUCGCCCUCAGGGGGAGUAUUACGGGGCCAGGGACGUUGGAGGGGUUUCCACGUGACUUUAGCUGGAACACCGCUACAGAGCGUAUCUGGCUGGGUUGGGCACACACCGUCGCGGCGGCCCCUGAUGGCAUCCACAAAGGUCCAAGACCCUCCUAAGCUCCCAGCCGUAGCAGAACUACGUAUUUCAGCACCCGAACGACUAACAACCCAGCCGGCAUCUGCAGCGUAUAUCCAACGCAAUCAAACUUCACUCUGACAAGUAACUUCCUAUACACAACCACGCCGUCCUUUCGCCCGGACCAGCCCCGCACUCUUUCCGCCCGCUACCUAGCGGUCGCCGGAUCAGCAGAGCCUGCGGACUCUUCGGAGGCUGGUCUUCGUUGUGCUGCCCAAGGCGGAAGUUUACUUCCAGUAACUUCUACCUUCUCUCUUUAUAUCCUCCUCCAUGGCGUGGAUCGCCCAACCAUCGCUCGCCACG